GUCCUUAGUGUGUGCAUGGAUUCCUGUAAACAUGAACUUUGAAUUCAUAUCUUACAAAAAUAUAGACUUUAAGUUCAUGUUCACGAAAUCCAAGCGCCCGCUAAGGCC